rnacentral:rRNA from 1 species
GCGAACGCUGGCGGCGUGCCUAAUACAUGCAAGUGGAACGCAUUUUAAUCACCGUAGCUUGCUACACCGAAUAAAAUGAGUCGCGAACGGGUGAGUAACGCGUAGGUAACCUACCUUCUAGCGGGGGACAACUAUUGGAAACGAUAGCUAAUACCGCAUAAGACAUUAUAUCGCAUGAUAGGAUGUUAAAAGAUACAAUUGUAUCACUAGGAGAUGGACCUGCGUUGUAUUAGCUAGUUGGUGAGGUAACGGCUCACCAAGGCAGCGAUACAUAGCCGACCUGAGAGGGUGAUCGGCCACACUGGGACUGAGACACGGCCCAGACUCCUACGGGAGGCAGCAGUAGGGAAUCUUCGGCAAUGGGGGCAACCCUGACCGAGCAACGCCGCGUGAGUGAAGAAGGUUUUCGGAUCGUAAAGCUCUGUUGUAAGCGAAGAAGAGUGUUAGGAGUGGAAAAUCUAACACAUGACGGUAGCUUACCAGAAAGGGACGGCUAACUACGUGCCAGCAGCCGCGGAAUCGUAGGUCUCGAGCGUUGCCGGAUUUAUUGGGCGUAAAGCGAGCGCAGGCGGUUAGAUAAGUCAGAAGUUAAAGGCUGUGGCUCAACCAUAGUAUGCUUUUGAAACUGUUUAACUUGAGUGCAGAAGGGGAGAGGGAAUUCCAUGUGUAGCGGUGAAAUGCGUAGAUAUAUGGAGGAACACCGGUGGCGAAAGCGGCUCUCUGGUCUGUGACUGACGCUGAGGCUCGAAAGCGUGGGUAGCGAACAGGAUUAGAUACCCUGGUAGUCCACGCCGUAAACGAUGAGUGCUAGGUGUUAGACCCUUUCCGGGGUUUAGUGCCGUAGCUAACGCAUUAAGCACUCCGCCUGGGGAGUACGACCGCAAGGUUGAAACUCAAAGGAAUUGACGGGGGCCCGCACAAGCGGUGGAGCAUGUGGUUUAAUUCGAAGCAACGCGAAGAACCUUACCAGGUCUUGACAUCCCUCUGACCGGUCUAGAGAUAGGCUUUCCCUUUUGGGCAGAGGAGACAGGUGGUGCAUGGUUGUCGUCAGCUCGUGUCGUGAGAUGUUGGGUUAAGUCCCGCAACGAGCGCAACCCUUAUUGUUAGUUGCCAUCAUUGAGUUGGGCACUCUAGCGAGACUGCCGGUAAUAAACCGGAGGAAGGUGGGGAUGACGUCAAAUCAUCAUGCCCCUUAUGACCUGGGCUACACACGUGCUACAAUGGUUGGUACAACGAGUCGCAAGCCGGUGACGGCAAGCUAAUCUCUUAAAGCCAAUCUCAGUUCGGAUUGUAGGCUGCAACUCGCCUACAUGAAGUCGGAAUCGCUAGUAAUCGCGGAUCAGCACGCCGCGGUGAAUACGUUCCCGGGCCU